CCAAAUCAAAAUCAAAGUUCUUAUUUGUACAAUUCAUGAGCUAGACUUAUAAAUCAAAAUAAAAAGGGUCUUACAUAUACGAUGUACCAAAUUCCGGGGAGUCUAUAUAAGCCACACGUUUUCUUAGCCAGAUCUUAGUACCCUUACGGAAUGAAACUAUUAUAUGUUUCUUAAAACUGUGAUACACAACUUCCUUUUUCAC
rnacentral:lncRNA from 1 species